rnacentral:rRNA from 1 species
CACGGAGUUAGCCGGGGCUUUCUCCUAGGUUACUGUCAGUUUUCAUCACCUAGAACAGAACUUUACGACCCAAAGGCCUUCAUCGUUCACGCGGCGUUGCUGCAUCAGGGUUUCCCCCAUUGUGCAAUAUUCCCCACUGCUGCCUCCCGUAGGAGUUUGGACCGUGUCUCAGUUUCCAAUGUGGCCGUUCACCCUCUCAGGUCGGCUACUGAUCGUCGCCUUGGUGACGCCGUUACCUCACCAACUAGCUAAUCAGACGCAGGCCCAUCCCAUACCGAUAAAUCUUUGACCUACCUAGCAUGCACUAGUUAAGUUUCAUAAGGUAUUAAUAUUCGUUCCAAAUGCUAUCCCUUUGUAUGGGGCAGGUUGCCUACGCGUUACUCACCCGUCCGCCGCUUUCCAUUUUAAAUUCUAUCCGAAGAAUCUUUUCUAAAACUUCUACGCUCGACUUGCAUCGUGUUAAGCACGCCGCCAGCCGUUCACUCCU